CCUACGGGAGGCUGCAGUGAGGAAUAUUGGUCAAUGGGCGCGAGCCUGAACCAGCCAAGUCGCGUGAGGGAAGACGGUCCUAUGGAUUGUAAACCUCUUUUGUCGGGGAGCAAAAGACGCCACGCGUGGCGUUCCGAGCGUACCCGAAGAAAAAGCAUCGGCUAACUCCGUGCCAGCAGCCGCGGUACUACGGAGGAUGUUAUCGUUAUCCGGAUUUAUUGGGUUUAACGGGUGCGCAGGCGGAAGAUCAAGUUAGCGGGAAAAUUGUGGGGCUCAACCCCAUCCAGCCGUUGAAACUGGGGAUAUAGAGUGUGCGAGAGGUAUGUGGAAUGCGGGGUGUAGCGGUGAAAUGCAUAGAUAUCACGCAGAACCCCGAUUGCGAAGGCAGCAUACCGGUGCACAACUGACGCUCAGGCACGAAAGCGUGGGUAUCGAACAGGAUUAGAUACCCGAGUAGUC
rnacentral:rRNA from 1 species